AUAAAGGAAACGGAUGGAUAAAGACAAAUGAGAAAAAAGGAAAUUCUGCUACUAGCGACAACAUGAUAGACCCUUCAGGACAUUUUGCUAAGUGAGGCCCUGGGCAGUCAUCGGUGAACUGCUUCUCCACAACUCAAGUUCUGACCUGCGGAAUGUGUUCGAGUUCAUUCGACAGAAGACUCUGAUUUUACUUUCUGCCCACGACAGAUUGGAUGGUGCUCACUGUUUUGUCUGUUUGGACUGUAAUGACAACAUAUCACAGACCUGGUGGCCUAUAACAGGAAAUUUAUC